GGGAGUCUGGGUGAAUAAAUAAAUUCAUUUUCUGGCUUGUAUAGCAGAGGGCAACAGGAAAAAGGCUUUCAGUAAGCCAACCACCAGUGUCUGCCACAGAAGGAAUAGUAGAGGAGAGGAAGUGCCCUAAAGUUACCCACUGAGAUGGGAAGUUCUUAGAGUUACUCCCACAGAUGAAUGUCCCUUUCUAGACAAGACUGUGUAUAUAGCUCUUGGUUACUGCCCAAUGUUCUAUCUGAACAACUUGUGUAUGAUCAGGCAGAGAAAAGAUGCCUUCUGAGAAAGUCUAUGGGGAGAAAAGUACUAUCUGAACUGGAGGUGGUCCAACUGGAAAAAGUUUUGCAUGCCUCUGCUUGGCUAACUGCUACCUGAUUCUUCGUUCCAGAACUGCCAGACUGUUUUCCAAGGGGGGCAUACCAUUUUACAUUUCUACAAGCAGUGGGCGGUAUUUCCAUUUCUCCACUCCCUUGCCAACACUUGGUACUUGUCAUUUUCGUGACAGCCAUAGGGAGGAAAACAGUGUAUCUGCUGUUAGUGUUGGACAAGUUACUCCGUCCAUGUUCUUUGUUUCCUUCCCUUCCCUGAGAUACAACCACACCUAAUUUCCUGAGCCUAAACACCCUUGAACACCGACGAAGGAGUAACCCCAAAAGUUAGGUAAGCAUUGAAAAUCAUUCCUAGUAGCACAGAUCGUGAUAUCCCGUCUUAGUAACCUGCUCCCUGUGACCUUGUGGGGAAAGGUGGAG